UCACCCGGUCCAAGAGGUCCCGUAGUAAGUUCUAUUCAACAGAAAAUUUAGUUUGCUAAUGUAUUGUGUAAGGGUCCUCCUGGUGCAACUGGCGAGACUGGAAAACAAGGAGUAUCGGGCCCACGAGGAGUAACUGGAGAUACCGGUUCUCAAGGUCCAGUAGGUCCUCCAGGUUUGCCUGGUCUUAAAGGAGUCCAAGGAAUAAAGGGAGACAAAGGAUACCAAGGAUCACAAGGUUUAGCAGGUUUAGAUGGAAAACCGGGCCCACCAGGACAUCCGGGACCAGAUGGUCCUUCCGGGGAAAAAGGCGUCAAGGGUGGUCGAGGCUUUACAGGUCACAAAGGAGAACAAGGUGGGCAAGGGAUACCAGGACCUACCGUCGACGAGAACACAAGAAAUUUAAUGAAAAGGUGUUGUGACCCUGUAACUGGCUUCCAGUCUAUAAUAGAAGACAUUAUAGAAAAUAUUACUCAAAUGAAAAUUGAUCUGCUGAAUGGUUAUGACAAACCUGCAUUUCAUGUAGGAGGAAGUGGCACUGACGGAAGAUCUUCAUCUGGUAAUAUCUGGUACAAAUACACGUAAGAUAGACAGAUUAUUGCGAUACAAUUAUCAGCGAUAUUGAGUUUAAUUUUU